GUGUCAGCAGCCGCGGUAAUACGGAGGAUCCGAGCGUUAUCCGGAUUUAUUGGGUUUAAAGGGAGCGUAGGCGGGAUGCUAAGUCAGUUGUGAAAGUUUGCGGCUCAACCGUAAAAUUGCAGUUGAUACUGGCGUCCUUGAGUGCGGCAGAGGCAGGCGGAAUUCGUGGUGUAGCGGUGAAAUGCUUAGAUAUCACGAAGAACUCCGAUUGCGAAGGCAGCUUGCUGGACCGUAACUGACGCUGAUGCUCGAAAGUGCGGGUAUCAAACAGGAUUAGAUACCCUGGUAGUCCGCACAGUAAACGAUGAAUGCUCGCUGUUUGCGAUACAUUGUAAGCGGCCAAGCGAAAGCGUUAAGCAUUCCACCUGGGGAGUACGCCGGCAACGGUGAA
rnacentral:rRNA from 1 species